GGGGGGGGUUGGGGAAGGGCAUCUUAACCCACACAGUCGUCCCAAAAAAGACAGAGCUUCCAGACAGCAACUCUGGCUUCCUUAAAAAAUGAUUCUCAUUUCUGAAAACGCGGAGUACCUACUAAGUGCCAGUGCCACUGCCAGCGCCGAAAGAUCCCUGGAAUUCCCACACAGCUCCUCCCUCCCAGAGCUCUCGGUGUAGCUAGGGAGGUAGGGAAGCGCUCCCGUGACUCAGCCCCGGCACGAUGUGGAAAUGAAGUUUAAACAAGGGGCACCUAAGAACAGAGAGAUUAAUUCUGCUUUGAGAGGAAACUAGGGCCAGAAGAGGGCAAACGCAAUGUCAAAUCAGUUUCAGAAGCAUCUGCCAUAUAUGACAUUUAGGAGUAAAGAGCCCUGCCUGAGCCUCCUCCCCGUGGAUUUUCCUGCUGUGUUCGCACUGUGUGCUGUGCUGCCAUGGGUGUUUCUCCCAUCGACCCGCUCAUCGCACCGCCCGUGAGUUGUCCUUCAUGGUCGCACUGCAGCCUCAGGAGCUUUACAAUGUCUGGGACACAGUAGAGGUCAAUGAAGUUCUGUUGAGUCUCUCACUGCUAGACUGGCACACGAGACAAUCUGAUGCUUUUUGCUGCAUCCCUCUGCUACGAUGAACCCAGGGCCUGCCUGGCAUGUUGCGGCUGCUCAGCAAACAUUGCUGGGCUUCUUCGCUUGUGCACCAGGAGUGAGUCAGCCCCAGGGCCUCAGCCUGAGGACUGAGGAGAAGGCUCCUCUCCUUCUCGGCCCUGCUUGACCUCUGGCUCCACUCUCUUCCCCAGUCAUGACGGCUAACGAGUGUCUAAUAAGUCUCUGAAUUCAGCUCUCCAGUGGAUUAAGAUGGAGUCAAUUUUGUUGUCAUUCGCCCAGUGGAGAGGUGGAGUUUUUUUUCCUCCCUUGGUUGUGGUUGGGCCCUGUGACUGUUUUAACAAAUAGAAGGCGGCAGAGGUGCCACUGUGCCACUUUCAGGCCUAAGCUUAAGAAGAGCUGGCAGCCUUUGCUUUUGUACGCUGAGGAGCCCUGAGCUGCCACGUACGAAGUCAGCUACACUGAUGAGGAGAGCAGGUAGAGCAGCCACAUGGAGAGGGAGAGACCUCAAGACUACAUGGAGAGAGCUGCCAUCCCAGCGUCCCAGCUGAGCCCAGCCUUCCAGCCACCACGGCCAAGGCGCCAGACAUGCCAGGGAGCCAUCUUGGAUUUUGCAGCUGAUGGAGUCUGAAGAGGACUGUGGCACAGCCAGUGACAUGGAGAGCAGAAGAGUUGCCCAGCUGAGCCAAGUCAACCCACAGAAUGAGGAGAGAAAAUAGAAUGGCUGUUUUUUGAAGCUUAUCAAAGCUGGCUCC
rnacentral:lncRNA from 1 species